AGAUUCAAAGCAACACCACCACCACUGAAGUAUUUUUAGUUAUAUAAGAUUGGAACUACCAAGCAUGUGGCUCCUGGUCAGUGUAAUUCUAAUCUCACGGAUAUCCUCUGUUGGGGGAGAAGUUUUGUGUUAUUUUCCCAGCAAUGUUCUGUGAUUUUCCAAAAAUAAACCAUGGAAUUCUAUAUGAUGAAGAAAAAUAUAAGCCAUUUUCCCAAGUUCCUACAGGGGAAGUUUUCUAUUACUCCUGUGAAUAUAAUUUUGUGUCUCCUUCAAAAUCCUUUUGGACUCGCAUAACGUGCGCAGAAGAAGGAUGGUCACCAACACCAAAGUGUCUCAGACUGUGUUUCUUUCCUUUUGUGGAAAAUGGUCAUUCUGAAUCUUCAGGACAAACACAUCUGGAAGGUGAUACUGUACAAAUUAUUUG
rnacentral:lncRNA from 1 species